UGGGGAAAUGGACAACGCGUCGGUCUACGGAACCGAAGAUUGCAGGUUCGAAUCCUGC
rnacentral:tRNA from 1 species